CCUACGGGUGGCAGCAGUAGGGAAUUUUGCGCAAUGGGCGAAAGCCUGACGCAGCAACACCGCGUGAAUGUUAAGCCCUUCGGGGUGUAAAGUUCUGUCAAUCGGGACGAAUUUUGACUGUACCUAUAAAGGAAGCACCGGCUCACGCCGUGCCAGCAGCCGCGGUAAUACGGGGGGUGGCAGCGUUGUCCGGAAUGAUUGGGGGGAAAGCGUUCGUUGGCGGGAAGGUAAGUCUGAUGGUAAAGCCCGGGGCUCAACUCCGGUUCGGCCGUGGAUACUGGCUAGCUUGAGUGUGGUAGAGGUAAGGGGAAUGCCUGGUGUAGCGGUGAAAUGCGUAGAUAUCAGGAGGAACAUCGGUGGCGAAAGCGUCUUACUGGACCAUGAUUGACGCUGAGGCUCGAAAGUGUGGGUAUCAAACAGGAUUAGAUACCCUUGUAGUC
rnacentral:rRNA from 1 species